UACGUAGGGUGCAAGCGUUAUCCGGAUUUAUUGGGCGUAAAGCGCGCGCAGGCGGUCCUUUAAGUCUGAUGUGAAAUCCCACGGCUCAACCGUGGAAGGUCAUUGGAAACUGGGGGACUUGAGUACAGAAGAGGAAAGCGGAAUUCCAAGUGUAGCGGUGAAAUGCGUAGAGAUUUGGAGGAACACCAGUGGCGAAGGCGGCUUUCUGGUCUGUAACUGACGCUGAGGCGCGAAAGCGUGGGGAGCAAACAGG
rnacentral:rRNA from 1 species